rnacentral:rRNA from 1 species
UAGGGAAUCUUCGGCAAUGGACGGAAGUCUGACCGAGCAACGCCGCGUGAGUGAAGAAGGUUUUCGGAUCGUAAAGCUCUGUUGUAAGAGAAGAACGAGUGUGAGAGUGGAAAGUUCACACUGUGACGGUAUCUUACCAGAAAGGGACGGCUAACUACGUGCCAGCAGCCGCGGUAAUACGUAGGUCCCGAGCGUUGUCCGGAUUUAUUGGGCGUAAAGCGAGCGCAGGCGGUUAGAUAAGUCUGAAGUUAAAGGCUGUGGCUUAACCAUAGUACGCUUUGGAAACUGUUUAACUUGAGUGCAAGAGGGGAGAGUGGAAUUCCAUGUGUAGCGGUGAAAUGCGUAGAUAUAUGGAGGAACACCGGUGGCGAAGGCGGGUCUCUGGGCCGUUACUGACGCUGAGGAGCGAAAGCGUGGGGAGCGAACAGGAUUAGAUACCCUGGUAGUCCACGCUGUAAACGUUGGGCACUAGGUGUGGGGGCCACCCGUGGUUUCUGCGCCGUAGCUAACGCUUUAAGUGCCCCGCCUGGGGAGUACGGCCGCAAGGCUA